rnacentral:rRNA from 1 species
GCUGUGAGGCAUGCUGGAGGUAUCAGAAGUGCGAAUGCUGACAUAAGUAACGAUAAAGCGGGUGAAAAGCCCGCUCGCCGGAAGACCAAGGGUUCCUGUCCAACGUUAAUCGGGGCAGGGUGAGUCGACCCCUAAGGCGAGGCCGAAAGGCGUAGUCGAUGGGAAACAGGUUAAUAUUCCUGUACUUGGUGUUACUGCGAAGGGGGGACGGAGAAGGCUAUGUUAGCCGGGCGACGGUUGUCCCGGUUUAAGCAUGUAGGCUGGUUAUCCAGGCAAAUCCGGAUAAUCAAGGCUGAGGUGUGAUGACGAGGCACUACGGUGCUGAAGUAACAAAUGCCCUGCUUCCAGGAAAAG